AAAACAUAGCCUUAGGAAAUAAUAUAAGGUGAUUCCUGCUCAAUGAAGAUAUUUAAAUAGCCGCGGUACCUUGACCGUGCUAAGGUAGCAUAAUCAGUUGACUUUUAAAUGAAGUCUGGAAUGAAGGGAUAAACGGGGUUUAGCUGUCUCAGGAUAUUUAUUACGAAUUUACUAAUUAGGUGAAAAGGCCUAAAAUUGAAAAAAGACGAGAAGACCCUUAGAGUUUAAAAUUUUGUUGGGGCGACAGAGAAUCAUUAAACAUUCUUAUUUAAUGUGACGGUUUUUACAUGAAUAGAUAAACUACCUGAGGGAUAACAGCAUAAUCUUUUUAGGUUUGUGACCUCGAUGUUGGACUAGGAAGCCUAUAAGCUAGCCGCUUAUAGUGGAAAUUCUGUUCGAAUAUUUACUCCUACGUGAUCUGAG
rnacentral:rRNA from 1 species